rnacentral:lncRNA from 1 species
UUUCUCUCAAGUGCACAUUAUCCAUCAAGAAGAUUUAAAUCAUUUUGAAAUAUUAAUAUAAUGAUCAAAAAUUAACUUUUAUACAUGUUAUUAGGCAGAACCCACAGAAAACAAUAAAGCACGAGAGAAAAGAGGAUGGCAGUUUACCCAGGAAACAUAGGUUGUGCAAAGCUUUGCAAUGAUACUCUCAAUUCAGAGCAAUGAAGAACAGAAUGCUGUCUUCCCAUAAUGAUGGCAUUCAAUUAUCACUAGACUUACAAGACUACAGAAAAUUUCUCAAGAACCAGUAAGGAUCAGACAGAGCCAAUGACAAUACUGAAGAAGCUUGCCAGUGGAGAAUGAAAGCUCAGUUACACAAAUUACGUUGUUGAACCAGUGCCAGAAAUAAAAUGUGAUGGACAAACUCAUUAAUUAUGAGCGUGAACCAGACAAAACUGAGAAUAAGGUGGGAAUUCCUUCAUAAUCUGUCCCUACUUAGUUGCACCAUAACCAUAAAUAUUGUAAGAGGCAAAAGAGUGGUAAAAAGCUCAUUAACACUGAGAUUAUUCUUGUUAAUUCAUCUGAAUGAG